CACCGCCAUGGCAACACCGUUUAACACCACCAUCCGGUGUGAGCGGGGGUACUUUAAUGCCUCAAAGAACCACCUGGAGGGAAAAGACGGGGUUGGCGUUGACCGCAUCAUCGAACCACAGGAUGUACAAACAGAACAAACCUACGAUCAGGGCGUGCACAGUCGACACCAACCUGGGGAUGGACACACACACAAGAUCAACGUAGUAAAUAUGAUGACAGGCUAAUGGCUGCUACAGCAUCAUUCCUGACCUUUGGAGUGGCUAUCUGGACCACUGAAGAGAUACUCCAGAGCUCCAGUGGCCCUUAUCUCUCCUCUACCAGAAUCACAGUUCCUCCACUGUCACCAUGCAGCCACCGGGGCACAGCGGCCCCUGUUCACAGACUGCAGCCGCUGGCCUGAGCCCUGGCCAAGACUGGCUCUACAGAUCAGCUACUGUAUGAGUGGAUGACUCCAUUAUUACUCCUGGCACUAAAAAAAAAAAUCAGUGUGAAGUGUCUGAGAAUGAAAAA